CACUGAACUCAAACGCAGAAAAAAAUGGAUUGAACUUGCAUGCAAAAUCAUCAGUCUUUCCCUGAACAGACCCUUGCAAAAUCCGUAUCGCUCAUGUGAAAGAGGCCUUGGACUACAUUUACAAUCCAGGAUUUUGCUUGUGUAAUGAUGCAAAUGACUGUAUAAAAAUAUGACAAAGGGCACAUGUGGUAUGGUAUUUUUUUUUCUGUAUGUUGCCAUAUGGCAUUCAUCAUGGGUACUGUAUUUGUUCCAUAUGGGUACUGGAUGAAAACAGACAGGAAAAGCUGCUUUUCUCAUGGCUGCUUUUAUAAAAGGUAUUUUAAGUGACAACCAUAUGGAGGAUUCUCAAAGAUUUGUAUACAUAGACACAAGUCUUUAGUUUCUGCUGGGGGUAGGGGGGUUGAUUGGCAUCCAUGUUGCAUCUAGUGGAGCAUACCAUAGUUUUUUUAAUUAUCUAGCAGAUUGUGUAUAAAAGACGCCUCCAUUUUUAAGAACAGCAUAACGCGAUAUGGAACCCCCUCCCCAUAGUGUAGUGUUAGCACCAUGUUAUGGAUCAGCAGCUAAUGGGACUGGUAAGAAUGGUUUGGUUGUUGUUUUGGACAAUGACAAAAUUCCCCAAAAUCUCAAUGAAGGUCUGGUAGGUGGAGCCAGUGACUAUUGAGAAGGUUUGACAAGAGGGAAAAUGGUGUAAAGACCAUGUCCACCAUGUUUUCUGCUGGAUAGUUGUUGGAUCUGGAUUCACAUCCACCAUGUUUUCGACUGGAUAGUUGUGGGAUCUGGAUCCAUGUCCACCAUGUUUUCUGUUGGAUAGUUGUGGGAUCUGGAAUCAUUGUCGUACAAAACAUUUUGUUUUAAGACCUAUCCUAAUGUUUGAGGAAUAUUAGAUUAAAACGACUCUCUGGUUAAAAAAAAAAAAAAAGUACAUGAAGCGGGAUAUGAACAGAACGGCUGCUGCCCUCAUUUUCAUCCUUUCAGCUUCAGAUCUGACGAUUCCUGGACUCCUCUUCUGUCAUCCAAGAAGGGCCCCACUGCUACUCAGACUACCUGGUUCACACUGUGCAUUUAGUAGUCCAAGACGGUGUUCCUCAACUCCAGUCUUCAGGGCUCACCUGCUGGUCACGAUUUGAGACUAUCUCACAGAAUAAAUACCUGGGGUAAGUCCUGAUGCAUUGACACUAAUAGUAUCACCAGCUCUAUACUAAGGAAAUCGUGAAAACUUGACCGUCAUAAGGGGCCCUGAGGACUGGAGUUGAAGAACACUGGUCCAAGACACUUGAGCAGUUCUGACUAAUCCAAGAGCAGGGCUAGACAAGCAGGAAGUGUCUCGGACCACCAAUGAACAGUGUGCAUUAAGUAGACUGAGGAACUAUGGGGCCAUCUUGAAUGACAGAUGAGGAGUCAGGGAAUCGGCAGAUCUGCUGCUGAAAAGAUGAAAAGGAGGGCACCAGUACAUACACCCGAGUGAAGAGGUUCAUUCAGGCAGAUAAAGAUAAGGUAUUAAUAUUUAACCCAGCCUUUUUUAAAUACAUCCAUGAUAACUGGACCAAUCAUCAUGGAAAGUAUCCAUCUACUGGAAUGCUGGCGCUCUUUUUCGCAUUACAUAUAUGUGAUGAGAUAUCAGUAUUUGGUUUCGGUGCAGACCAAAAAGGAAAUUGGCACCACUACUGGGAAAACAACCGAUUUGCAGGCGCUUUCAGAUGGACUGGCGUUCACAAUGCAGAAUUUGAGUCAAAACUGAUAGCGGCGUUAGUCCAGGAAGGAAGACUGAAAUUCUACAGAUAACGCACUUUUCUCUGCAUUCAUAAAAAGAUCAUGUUUUCUACUUUGUUAAUAUAAAAAAAACUCAUGCUGUAUCCUGUGACUCUCAUGGUGAAUUUGUGUUGCUCCAUUAUGAAGCAAGUACUCCUCCUGACUUCAGACAGAGAAGAUAUAUCUUCUUGGCAAAACUAUAAAAGAGAGAAAUUUAUUCUUACAUCUGUGUCGUGGCUUUAAAGAGGACACAAAGUUUAGAUGACA